rnacentral:tRNA from 1 species
GGGUGUGUAGCUCAACCGGUAGAGCACUGGACUUUUAAUCCAGGGGUUGCGGGUUCGAGGCCCGCCGCACCCA